rnacentral:lncRNA from 1 species
AUGGGUCACGAAUGUUUUUUAAAAAAAGAUGAAUUUCCGGGUAUGAAUGAUGCUUUUAUUAAAGCUGGAGUGGUGAAAAUGAAACAUCUGACAAAGUUAGCAGGUCCGAAUUUGAAUAAUGUGGAGGCGGUGGCAGAAAGACUUGGUAUUCAUUCUUCUCGAAAAGUUGGACAGUUUUUACAAGGCUUUCGGGACUUAUUAACUGAAGAAGAAAAAUUAAGACUUAAAAAUUGGAUGGAAAGAUGUGAAUUGCCUGAGUCUACUGAUCUCUUUCCGAGUAUGGGAGUGAGACCGAGAAUGGAUGAAGAGGACUUUCAAGAUCUAUCAGGGUUUUUCAAAAAUGAUGUUCGUUUUACUGUUUUUAAUUCUGUAGGAGGGAAAAGUAUUUAUUCCUUUUGUGUUAAGGUGCUGAAUAAAGGAAAAUUAAAAAAUAGGAUUGACACACCAUGGAGGAAAUAUCUGGAUGUAAAAGAUGAGAUAAUGCCAGUAUGGGAAGCAAUUUAUAAGCCACCAUUGACCAAAAAGGUUGGAGAUAUUCAGUGGAGAAUACUGCAUGGUACUAUUGCAGUAAAUGCUUUUGUGGCUAUUAUAAAUUCUGAAAUUACUGAUACCUGUCCUUUUUGUAAUUGUAGAGAAACUAUUUUUCAUUGUUUUCUUAGGUGCAAACGAUUGUUGCCUUUAUUUGUUUUAUUGAAAGAAUUGUUUAAUUUGUUUGGAGAAAUGUUCUCUGAUGUUUGUUUAAUUUUUGGAGUGAAAAUUGGGAAAAAUAAGAGGGAUAUUAGUAAAAUCUUAAAUGUUCUAUUAGGACAAGCUAAAUUAACAAUUUAUGCAACAAGAAAAAGAAAAAUAGAACAAAAUAAUAAUAUUGAUGUUCUUGUUUUUUUUAAAUGUAUAACAAGAGCUAGGAUACAUUUAGAAUUUAAUUAUUAUAGAUUAAUGGAUAAUGUUGAAGGUUUUAAAGAGAUUUGGAGCUUAAAUGGGAAAAUAUGUACUGUGAAUGGAGAAAUUUUAUCUUUUUCUGAAAACUUUGUUUAA